GGGCCGCCGGCUGCCUGACGAUAUCCCGGAACACCAGUUCUUCAUCAACUACGGACCCAGCUAUGAUCUGGCUGUAAGUCCAGGCUUAAGAAAGGACUACAAUACUGCCGAAGAUAUCCAGACUAUCCGCCGGAGAGUCAGUGAGAACAUGCAGAACGUGGAAGAGCCGAAGUCCUGAGCAUUGGGGCGUCAGAAGCGAGGCAGCGGGGUGACGGCUACCCAUGCAGUGAGGCAGCCUGCAGUGCGCCGCUCGGUACGAGACUGUGAUACCCAUAUCAUGCUUCCUAUCCAAAUUUGCCAGCCUCUAUCCGCUUGUGCCGUUCUGUUCCUUUUCGGGUCAGAGCGCCGCAGGCAUUCAGGUGCAUGCUUAUCGUUCUUCACCGCGCAAACAACGUCGAGUCAUCCCUGGUGAUGCUGCGAAAGAUGAUAUGCACGCGUGGUGAUCAGGGCCAGAAAUAUACCAUGGAAUCGUUGGAGAUAAUUGUAUUCAUUAUUGACGUCCGUGUAUUUGGUGUGGGCAUAUACAACACCAGGGUAUGCCUGUGUACGUAUGCAAUAGAUUCU